GUGGAGGAACUGAGAUAAUGGAAGCAAAGCAGUGGAUGAGUUAUUUUUGGACAUUGCAAAUCAGAACUCCUGGGAGAGGCAGAGCCUGUCAAGCAUUUUAUUGUGGUGCUUUUCCCACAGGAAGCUAAUGGGAAGUGGGAACCUUGGAAGGAGUCAAUAAGAGAUAUUUACUAGGAAGUUUGAAAAUGUUGGACUAGCCUUCUCAGCAAAUUAGAAUAGACAUUUACUUUUUCUUUGAGGUGUGACUGCUAGGUUUCCUUGUUUGAGUGUGCUGGCUGCUGGUACUAUUUUAGUUGGAUUGCAUAUGUUUAGGAACAGAACAAACCUCUUGUUCCGGUUUUGGUAUGUAACCUUAGAUGUUUUUCUUGGAACAAAUCUAUCUGUUGACCGUAUACAUAUGAAAUUGCAGGUAAAUGUUAACAUCAGUGGUGCAGGAAAUUCCAUGGUCUUCCCAUUGGACUUGCAUCAGCUAUUGUUUGAUCAUGUAAACUAUAACUGGAUGGGUUAAAAACAUGGACAGAUCAGCUCAUUAAAAAGAAAAAAAAUUCUUUUCUUUUGGGUUUCGGAAGAACAUCAUUGGAUGCUGACUUGAUGUACAAAGGGGCCUUGUCCUUGUUUCUUAAAAAUGUGAGGUCAAACUCUGUGGGUGGACUCACAUAUUCGUUCUGGUCUUUGCAAUUAUAGAAGCUUGCCAGCUAUGCAUUUAAGUGUUCAGUCGUGCCUGCGUUUGCAUCCCUAGCUUUGCAAGAAAAAGGAUUUUUUAGCAGUCUUGUGCAACUGUCUGAAAAGAGUGUAUCACCUGAAAAGGAUGUUUAGCUUUCUAUGCAUCUAUUUUAUUGCAGAUUUGCUCAGAGUGCAUUUCUUGUAUCAUAAAUGUGUAACUCAGAAAUGUUUUUUGCACUGGAGGAGGUGAAAGCACAGCCAUAUACAUACUUGCUAAGAUGGCAAGGCUGGGGCAACUCUGUAUAAGUUGCACACAUGGGCAGCACUGUAGCAACUCAGAGGUAGUUACAGCAGAUAUUCUUAUGCUCGACUGAUCGGGAUAUCGAUCUGCAAGUGAUUAUCUGACCUUGUUUUCCUGAGGCAUAUGGCACUAUAACUGCCACUUGCUUUCUGCAGCGAUGUCCAGGGUACUGAUAAGGUCAUUUUGAGAAGUGUAAAACUAAUAACCAUGUUCAUCUAGCACUGCAGCCAUGGCAUAGCUGACUCUCUAGCUUCCGAGAUUGUUCCUAGCAACAGGCAUGGGUUUACUGCAGACUGGUCUCUCGAUUGGGUACAGAUACAAGCUAGGGUUUCAGCAAGAAAAGGGGAUCGGGAGAAGGAGCCGGCCGGAGGUGGGAGAGAAGAUACACACCCAAAGACGGUCCGUUCUGUCCGAUACAGGGCACUGCAUCGUGGGUGUCUGGCUACAUGGAUCUGUUCUUUGGUCAUCCAGUUGUGCUGUUUGUCAUAGCCCUAUAACUCUGCUGGUGUCCUGCUGCGUGAUGAACCAGAAACGCUCCUAUCAUGAACCGAAUUGAGCAGUACAAUGGCUGUUUUGCUGGAGUUCCUCACAGUAUGAUUCAGGCAACCCUUGCUCUGCUGUACCUCGUGACUCGUGAGCCCUAUGGACCUUUUCCCUGAAGCUUCCCUAGGGUACCGUGGCCUGCUGGAUGACAUCCUGGUGUUCAUCGUCGCGUAUGCCUACAUCUCCGCCACCUACCGGGCCUUGCUUGUCGCUCGACAUGCCGUGUGAGUCGAUUGGUAUGACAUGAGCAGUUGCUGACAGACACAGGGAACUGAACUGAAUUUCAUGGAGCUGCAGAUCUGAGAUUGAUCAGCUUGAUUGGUGGAUUUAUGCUAGAUAUAUUACAUAUAGUGAGUGGCAUAUACGACAUACUUACUUUGGUCAUAAUGUGGUUCUGGCAGAAUGUGGAUACAUAUGCAGGGACCAUCCGACUCAUGUUGUAGUGCCGAGCUAGGAUCUUAGGGAUCGAGAUUUCACAUGCCAUGCUAAUCGAAUGUUAGGUUUUAGAUCAGCAGGGGGCGGGCCAAAGGCCUCCCUGGUUCCGUUAUCAUAAUGAAACCCUUUUUUUUUGCGGGGUUAUCAUAAUGAAACCAGAGUAAACAUACUUCAGUACCAAAACAGGUUCAGGUUCUAACACUGUUUCGUAUCAAAAUAUAAGAAGUUUUUUUGACA